rnacentral:misc_RNA from 1 species
AAUGUUAUUGGUUCUUCGCAUCGUUCGGGGCAUUUUGGGGGCUGUUUUGGCUUUUGGUUGCUUGGCUGGCAUUGUGCUAGGUGGGUGGUCAUUUGCUUGAUGGUCUUCGGAAAUGUUAACCGUAAAGGUGCAUGAGUGGUGAUUGGUUUGUUACCGGUGGUUGGCUCUUUGCUUGCGCAACAACUUCCACCUGGCUUACCUCCUCAUUUAUGUUUCAAGGCUUCUAUCGUCUUGAGCAUAUUGUGGGUUUCCUGUGCUGCCUACCUAGUUGACGGUAUAGUUUUGAUUUAUCGAAGUCCCUUUUCAUCUUGUGUUGCUUUUGUGACUCAUGAUGAACCUUGAAGCGGUCUCUAUGAUCCAUCCUGUUGAUACACAUGUAUUGAUGGUGUGGCCCAUUGAGUGUAGCGUGGUAUCCUGGAUACAGAACAUGAAGUGGGCUUGGGGUCUUUUAUGGCUCUUGUAUUGUCCUCGUUCAGUGUUCUUUUAAACGACGGUUCAUGCGCGCCUAGGCUCGUACCUGCGUGAUGAACUUUGUCGAAGAGGAAUGCUACCUGGUU